rnacentral:rRNA from 1 species
GUGUCAGCUGCCGCGGUAAUACGUAGGGAGCGAGCGUUGUCCGGAAUUACUGGGCGUAAAGGGUGCGUAGGCGGCAUGGCAAGUCAGAUGUGAAAUUCCCGGGCUUAACUCGGGGGGUGCAUUUGAAACUGCUGAGCUUGAGUGCAGGAGAGGAAAGCGGAAUUCCUAGUGUAGCGGUGACAUGCGUAGAUAUUAGGAGGAACACCAGUGGCGAAGGCGGCUUUCUGGACUG